GCCUAUAAAGCUGCUGCAACAAACAGACCAUGGCUCAGUGGAGUGUUUUACACAAUCUGAUUAUAUACAUGCACGGUGUCUUGGAAAAUGGAAAGAAUUGGGAGCCUUCCUACCGCUGGUGAAAUCUAGGAGUGGCAGUUGAGGGCUUCUGUUCACAAAGGUAUUUACUUUUUUCUGCUUAUUCUCUCAGUCCAUUUCUCCUCAAGUUAGAGAGCCUUACAUCCCAUUCUCAGGAUCUGACUGGCUCACAUUGUUUUUCCUCAGUAUUGCUUCCAGGGGGUGGGGACAGAAUGAGAAGUGUGCUAAACCAGCCAUCCUCCCCACAAGAAUUUAUACAUAUAUAUAUAUGUACUAUAAAUAUAUAGUACAUAUAUAUGUACAAUAAUACAUAUAUAUGUACUAUAUAUAAUACAUAUAUAAAUACAUAUAUAAACACCUAUAUAAUAUACAUGUAUAUAUGAAUACCUAUAUAUUUAUAUAUAUGCAUAUAUAUGUAUGUAUAUGUAUAUAUGUAUGUAUAUGUAUAUGUAUAUAUGUAUGUAUAUGUAUAUACGUAUGUAUGUAUACAUAUGUGUAUAUAUGU
rnacentral:lncRNA from 1 species